rnacentral:misc_RNA from 1 species
GAUGAAGAACGCAGCGAAAUGCGAUAAGUAAUGUGAAUUGCAGAAUUCAGUGAAUCAUCGAAUCUUUGAACGCACAUUGCGCCCUCUGGUAUUCCGGGGGGCAUGCCUGUUCGAGCGUCAUUUCAACCCUCAAGCUCAGCUUGGUGUUGGGACUCGCGGUAACCCGCGUUCCCCAAAUCGAUUGGCGGUCACGUCGAGCUUCCAUAGCGUAGUAAUCAUACACCUCGUUACUGGUAAUCGUCGCGGCCACGCCGUAAAACCCCAACUUCUGAAUGUUGACCUCGGAUCAGGUAGGAAUACCCGCUGAACUUAAGCAUAUCAAUAAGCGGAGGA